rnacentral:tRNA from 1 species
AUGCUGAGAGUAUUACCUAGUACAAUUGCCUUCCAAGCACAUAAGUCCUGAAAAGGUCAGCAUA